rnacentral:lncRNA from 1 species
CACAAUGCUGCUGUGCCAGCUGCUGCUUCUGGGAGAAAACCUAGUUCCUAGUUCUCUCCAGUGUGAGCUGGUUUGGCUAUUUGAAAGCUACUCUUUUCAACUAACCCUUCUUUGUCAGUUCAGAAACCAGUCCUGCUUUCCAGCAGCUGGGCUGGGCAGGGUUUUUCCAGGCUUGCUGACUGCAGCAGCUGUUUCCUGCCCCCAGUAAGAGCCCGGGGGACACACUCACCCACUCAGAGCCACCCUUGGCGGGAGACUUGGGGGACAACUCCCCGCAGGGCCGAGUUGAACAGCUCCAAUGAAAUAAUGCCAGAUGUGAAUGCUUUUUAAUCGAUGGGCUCUGAUCAUCACGAUACCAAAAUUCUGCACAUCUUUUGCAAAGCAAGGCUUGGCUCUCUGAAGCUUUCAUUUCUUCAUUUUCCCAUGUGGUAUCCUUGCCUUGGUGUGCCUGGUAUCCUGGAGUCCAGAAUCCCUCUGGUUCAACCUCUCAGAGAAUCUUCUGCCAGGAGGCAGUAGGGGGCCACCCAUCCUGUAGAAAGAAUGUUAACCACUCCACUUCCUAGUUCCUCCACACCUGUCACUUGGGAACCAGACGAGAAGUUCUAAGAAGCCCUCAGAUCCUGCAGCCUGACUCUGGCUUGGAAAACCUCUGUCCAGAUCAGAGUGCCAAGGGGAGUGACCCAUCUUGGAUCCUGGACCUCAUCCACUUAGUUGGGAAAUCUUUCUGAUAAAUUCAGAGACCACACAAAGUCCUGAGGGCCUUCCUGUCGAUUUGAAUCCGCUCAAACUCCCAGGAGAUGAAAACAACUUCACUAGAUUGAGGGGACGUAGGAAUCACCUGGGGAUCUUGUUAAAAUGAGGAUUCUGAUUCAGAAGGUCUGGGGAGGGGCCUGAGAUUCUCCCAGGUGAGGCCAGUGCUGCUGGUCCAAGGACCACAUUUGCAGCAUCAAGGGGUUAUAGAACCACCUUCUGUCACUGCUCAUGGAUUUCCUACUCUGCUUUCUGGGGAUCUUGCCUGUUUUCACACCUUAUCCUUCUUUUCCUCUCUCCAUCCAUCCUUUUCUUGGCCAACUCAUUAUUCUGACCAGGCACCCCUACCAACUCCCAACCCUCCUCCAUUCAAGGAGAAAGAAACUCCUGCCCUUUUUUCCUCAGACUUUCAUCCCCUCCCCUCUUCCCUCAGCAGUGCCAGAAAAAUGAAAGUCAUCAUUUAUUGACAGUUGUGUGCCAAGCACUGUCCCAAAUGUGUUACCCAUAAUAUUUAAUUCUCGCAACAAUCCUACAAAGUAUAUAUUAUUAUUGUCAUUUUAGAAAUGAGAAAAUUGAAACUUAGGUAGUUAAAGAAACUCUGUCCUCAACUAGGGAGUAAUGAGUUGAGAUUAGAAUUUGAAUCUGUCUAACGUCAAAGUCUACAGGCUUUACACUACCUUAUGCUCAUGCAAGGUGAAAUAGUCUAGAAGUCAGCUGGUGGGAAUGCAUUGAGAAAAAAGGAUCACUCCAAGGAUCACUCCACUUAUUCAGCCUGUACAGUCCUCUGAACCCCUCUUAAGCAGAUAUUCUAUGGGACAGCCCGACAUAUGGAUAAUAAGAGCUAUUUUAGGAAUGCCCAGGUUAGCUGGAAUGGGACAGGAUUCCAAAUAGCAGAGUAGUAAUAUUAAAACCCAAACUUGCCAAUAUGCCCAAAUUUUCAAUGUAGCUCUUUAAUUAGACCCAUAACUGUACCAAUAGAGCCUAUUACCAAAAAAGAGAUUCCUAUGAUUAGCUAAUCACCCAACCACAUGGAGUCUAAAGGAUGGUGCCAAGUCUGCUAUCAGUCCGCAUAGGGUCCUCUUUGGAUGGGUAGCCAAUUCCCUUCUCUCUCUAGUCUCUCUUCCUUGACUCCACCUCUAACAUCCCCUUGGUCUCUGCCUGUUCUCAAGAUCUGACCUAAGUGUCCUGGCUUCCAACCUGGGAGCCUAUACCUGAUCUUAAAACCUUUGUGUCUUUCAGCUUCCUCAAACUACAGCAUCUACAAGACAAACGAAUCUUGCUUAUGUUGGCUAUCUCCCUCUCCUGACUUUUAUUGGGUGUACAAAAAAAAAAUCUCCCUUUAAUUCCUCCCAAAGAUCCUACAAGGUAUGAGGAGAGGAGAAAAGGCAAGGGGUAGGAAUGAGGAAAAUUCCAUCUUGAUGCAAAAAUUUAAAAGGUCUAUAUUCAUUCAAUGGAGAAGAGUCAGAAUUUUAAAAUAUAACAUAGACAAGGAAAUUAAGAGCAGUGUGCUGUGGGGAAAGGAGCCCUGGCCCAAGAGUCGUGAGAUUUGGGUUCUCAAUCCAUCUUUUCCACUAACUGGCUGUGCAACCUUGGAUAAACUGUAUCAUUUUUCUUGACAUCAGUUUCUCCAUCUUUAAAGUGAGAGGGUUGUAUUGAAUGAUUACUAAGAUUCCUUUGAUCUCUGCUUUUCAGCGUCUUCCCUAGCACCUAAAAUAAAAUGAACCUGGCAGUUUUUGUGAAAUAAUGUUGCAUCUAACCAGAAAUUUAGACACAAACUUGCUUGAGUCAAUGCAUGAAAACAAGAAGAUAAAGAAACAGUGAUUAAUAAUGAUAAAUGAAUAAUAAUGAUAAAAAUAAAAGACCAAAAACUUAAAAAAAGACAAAAAUGGCUGAUUCUAUAGUUUUUCUUUUUUUUUUUUUUUUUUUUUUUUUUUUUUUUUUUUUUUUUUUUUUUAAAGAUUUUAUUUUUUCCUUUUUCUCCCCAAAGCCCCCCGGUACAUAGUU